rnacentral:rRNA from 1 species
CCUACGGGAGGCAGCAGUGGGGAAUAUUGGACAAUGGGGGCAACCCUGAUCCAGCCAUGCCGCGUGUGUGAAGAAGGCCCUCGGGUUGUAAAGCACUUUCAGUGAGGAAGAACGCCUGGUGGUUAAUACCCAUCAGGAAAGACAUCACUCACAGAAGAAGCACCGGCUAACUCCGUGCCAGCAGCCGCGGUAAUACGGAGGGUGCGAGCGUUAAUCGGAAUUACUGGGCGUAAAGCGCGCGUAGGUGGCUUGAUAAGCCGGUUGUGAAAGCCCCGGGCUCAACCUGGGAACGGCAUCCGGAACUGUCAAGCUAGAGUGCAGGAGAGGAAGGUAGAAUUCCCGGUGUAGCGGUGAAAAGCGUAGAGAUCGGGAGGAAUAACAGUGGCGAAGGCGGCCUUCUGGACUGACACUGACACUGAGGUGCGAAAGCGUGGGUAGCAAACAGGAUUAGAUACCCCUGUAGUC